UCUGAAUUGAGGCAGGUAUAUCUAUUAUGCUAUGUCACUAAGUACUAUAGGGAAAAGAAUAACUCAAGUUGAUUGAGAUCUAUUCUGAUUCUCCUGGUAUCCAUCUCAACAGGUUUUUAUUUGCUUUUCAACACUCAUUUCAUAGUGGUACAUGUGGCUUUGAUUAAUAUUACCAUAAAGACUGCUGAAAAUGGGUAUGGUACAGAAACCCAGAAAUGGCAUGAGUUCAACAUCAAACAUGGAUUAGAAUUUUAGCAGGGGAUCAAGUCAAAUCUGGAAGUGUUACAGGAUGGAAGAGUUGCCCUGUAGUUGAAAAAACACUGAGAGUGCAUUACUGUUAAGGUAUGAGGUAAAGUAAUAGAGUAAUGCAAAUUGUCUAAUGAGAAAUAUCAUCUUGUGUUAAUAAAUCCGGUACAAUCCUCAUAGAAUCCUUCAUAGUUCUGUCACAGCUAGAAGCCUCUAAUAAUUCUGCUUCUCUGGCUAAAGAACAACUUGUCCUUUACGUUCAGAGUGUUGGUGAAGCUGGGUACUUAAAUGGCCCUAAAGAUGUUUCACUUUGCUGGCAUUGCAGCGAUUAACAUCAUACAUGGACUCUUUAGGAAAGGAUUUUCAUAUACUGGGAACAUAGCUAUCAACAAUGCAACAUUCUACGGGGGCUAUUUUAUCAUUCAAGAGCCUUAUACAAUGAUGUUCAUCUGCAAUUUGUAUGGCCUUUCCCAAGCUUCUGCCAGAAGUUGAAUCUAUGAGUCAUGUAAGUCACAUGAGCAACAAUUGAGAUGCUUAAUGGUGUUGUUUUUCUUUUCUCAGUAUAGGUUAAUAGUAACAUUGGAUCUGAAAAGAUUCUUGGUUGGGGCAAGACACUGAAUAAAUUGUAAUGAUUGGAUGGAUGACAUGACAUUUCUAUACUUCAUUCGGAUUCCCGAGACGGUAUUUUAUAUUUAAAAAAUUGAAGUGCAUAUCUGGGCUCCCUUCCUUUCCGUAGCCCCGUUUCCCCUUGACUCGUAAUAAGCCCGUAGGGGGUCAUGCCCCUACUGU